GCACUGCUGACGAGUUGCAAACAGGAUGAAACAGCUGUCCAGUGC
rfam:Echinostoma caproni strain Egypt genome assembly, scaffold: ECPE_scaffold0001355